rnacentral:rRNA from 1 species
UACGGGGGGGGGCAAGCGUUGUUCGGAUUUACUGGGCGUAAAGGGCGCGUAGGCGGUCGUGACAAGUCACUUGUGAAAUCUCCGGGCUUAACUCGGAACGGUCAAGUGAUACUGUCGGACUAGAGUACAGAAGGGGCAACUGGAAUUCUCGGUGUAGCGGUGAAAUGCGUAGAUAUCAAGAGGAACACCUGCGGCGAAGGCGGGUUGCUGGGCUGACACUGACGCUGAGGCGCGAAAGCUAGGGGAGCGAACGGG